UGCUUCCUACACCGGCUGCCCCAAGGAUAUAACACCCCGCCAUCCCGGGUGUGGGAGAGGAAAGCCAACGCCCCACCUCCCCCUGUAACCUGAGCCCUGACGCCCAGGGCUGAAGCCUUGGCUUGGGCUUGGGCCCUGAGGCCCAGCAAGUCUAAGCCAGCCCUGGCGACCCCAAUAAAACAGGGUCCCGACCCACAGUUUGAGAACUGCUGGGUUAGACUGAUGCCAUGUCCACCCUACAGGUGCUGCAGUGUUGUAGCUAUGUUGCUAAAGUGCCGGAGGAUAGACACGUCCGACAGCGAUGGAUGGGAUUUUCCCUUUUGAUGCAGGCCUUUUUAACUGCAGAGAGGUGGACUGGAGCUUCUUAAUUUAGAACUGGGUCACCGCAGAGCUCAACUGCAUUGAAACAGGACUUGCUUACUGGCUGCAUAAACACAGUUGCAGGCAUUUGUCUGCAGAUGAGCCUUUUGGACACUAGAAGCCACACUAGUGCCUGCCACGCAGAUGACUAGAGCCCUCAUCUCCCUCCCCAGAGCUGGAACUAGAGCCCUGGAGUCGGUGACGGUGACUGAAGAAGAAUCUGGGGACAGCAGCACCAGUGCUGGAAUUUAGGAGCCUAAAUACC